rnacentral:rRNA from 1 species
GGUUAAGCGAACAAGCGUACACGGUGGAUGCCCUGGCAGUCAGAGGCGAUGAAGGACGUGCUAAUCUGCGAAAAGCGCCGGUAAGGUGAUAUGAACCGUUAUAACCGGCGAUGUCCGAAUGGGGAAACCCGGUGCACUUCGGUGCAUCAUCGUUAGCUGAAUACAUAGGCUAACGAGGCGAACCGGGGGAACUGAAACAUCUAAGUACCCCGAGGAAAAGAAAUCAACCGAGAUUCCCCCAGUAGCGGCGAGCGAACGGGGAACAGCCCAGAGCCUGAAUCAGCUUGUGUGUCAGUGGAACGGUCUGGAAAGGCCGGCGAUACAGGGUGACAGCCCCGUACACGAAGGCACACAGGCUGUGAGCUCGAUGAGUAGGGCGGGACACGUGAUAUCCUGUCUGAAGAUGGGGGGACCAUCCUCCAAGGCUAAAUACUCCUGACUGACCGAUAGUGAACCAGUACCGUGAGG